rnacentral:rRNA from 1 species
GACGAACGCUGGCGGCGUGCUUAACACAUGCAAGUCGAACGGAAAGGCCCUGCUUUUGUGGGGUGCUCGAGUGGCGAACGGGUGAGUAACACGCGAGUAACCUGCCCUUGACUUUGGGAUAACUUCAGGAAACUGGGGCUAAUACCGGAUAGGAGCUCCUGCUGCAUGGUGGGGGUUGGAAAGUUUCGGCGGUUGGGGAUGGACUCGCGGCUUAUCAGCUUGUUGGUGGGGUAGUGGCUUACCAAGGCUUUGACGGGUAGCCGGCCUGAGAGGGUGACCGGCCACAAUGGGACUGAGAUACGGCCCAGACUCCUACGGGAGGCAGCAGUGGGGAAUAUUGCACAGUGGGCGGAAGCCUGAUGCAGCAACGCCGCGUGCGGGAUGACGGCCUUCGGGUGGUAAACCGCUUUCGCCUGUGACGAAGCGUGAGUGACGGUAAUGGGUAAGGAAGCACCGGCUAACUACGUG